rnacentral:rRNA from 1 species
CCGACCGGCGAUCCGCCACCGUUACUUGAAUGACUUGGCGGGCAGCCUCCGGGAAACCUUGAGUGUUUGGGUUCCGGGGGAAGUAUGGUUGCAAAGCUGAAACUUAAAGGAAUUGACGGAAGGGCACCACCAGGAGUGGAGCCUGCGGCUUAAUUUGACUCAACACGGGAAAACUUACCCGGCCCGGACACUGGAAGGAUUGACAGAUUGAGAGCUCUUUCUUGAUUCAGUGGGUGGUGGUGCAUGGCCGUUCUUAGUUGGUGGAGUGAUUUGUCUGGUUAAUUCCGAUAACGAACGAGACUCUAGCCUACUAAAUAGAUCGUCGGCUUACAAACGCUGAUGAGACUUCUUAGAGGGACAGGCGGCGAUUCAGCCGCACGAAACAGAGCAAUAACAGGUCUGUGAUGCCCUUAGAUGUCCGGGGCCGCACGCGCGCUACACUGAAGUGAUCAGCGUGCAUUUUCAGCCUACUCUGCCAAGAGUGGGAAACCCAAUGAACCUUCUUCGUGAUUGGGAUAGGAGAUUGUAAUUAUUCUCCUUGAACGAGGAAUUCCCAGUAAGCGCGAGUCAUAAGCUCGCGUUGAUUACGUCCCUGCCCUUUGUACACACCGCCCGUCGCUACUACCGAUUGAAUGUUUUAGUGAGGUCUUCAGACUGGCCGGCGCAGCUGCUCUC